AACAUUUUGUCCUCUUUUAAGUGUGCUUGCAUGAGAAGCAGAAGUGUCUGUGGUAUUUUGUGUGUGUGUGCAUCGGAGGUCUGAAGGUCAACGUCUGGUUUCGGUCUUGCAGAUAUCUUCCACACUGGAAAGUCCCCGCUAUAUAUACAUUUCUUCUUUAUUCUGUUUGUAUAACAUGCCCAUAUUAAGAGUGUCUUCCUUCUUCUGUAUAACUUUUAAAGGUCAGCCCACUAUGUAUAUAUGUCCCUGCUCAUCCUUAUCAUCAGGCUUGCAGAAUAAACCAUUCUAACUACAGUUUGGUCUCUUCUCAUGUCUCCGGGUCGACCUGCUGAACUUUGCUGAAUCUGGUGCCUAAUAAAGGGGAAAUCUUACAGAUCUGGGGGCUCGUCCGGGAUACAUCUGAUCAGAUUUUGGGGGCCCCCACAUCAGCUAGCACCUCCACGCAGCAUAACUACUAGAAGGAUAAGCAUGAAGUGGCUAUGGACAUUGGGACUGUUUCUCUUUCUUGUUGCUCAAGCUAAUGCAGCCAGGCUGAAACGCUGGACACAUGAUCAUGAAUUUGGAUGGGCAGAGGAUGGGGCUGACAAUCCAAUUGAAAUAAUAUGUGGUAUCAAUAUGUAAAUGAGUUUUAGCUAGGUCAUAUAAUGUAUCUGGUUGUUAUGUAUGUUCUGUUAUGCCUCAUUCAGCCAAGCAAACCCCUCUUUAUGCCAAACCCAUGAAUAAAACAGCUGCUAAAUGUUUUGCCAGUUUUGCAGGAUCAGGGUACCAGAAUCCAUAUAUAAUUGUCAAUGACUACGAUCCAUACCGGAUUGGCAUUAGAAAUGGUACAUGUGAUGCUCUAUUUUGGGUAAAAUUUGGCCACGCUAAACCCUCACCUAUUAGCCACAAGGUUUUUUAUUAAGCACUCUAUUACACACCCUGUGUGUUAUAACCAGACCAUGGGCUCUCAUUUCAUGGGAAGCACUGUUAACUGUCAACAAAUUGCCUCCACGGGAGAAGGGGCCCCAGUCGACAUCUCAGGACCCUCAAAUGGCACUUAUGUGGUCCAGGGUGGGUGGUGAUUGUGUGGAAAAAACGCCUACAUGUCAUUACCGGCCAACUGGACGGGGCAGUGUGCCCCUGUGCAUGUGACUGAUCACACUUUUAUUGUGACAGCCCAGGUCCUGUCAGCGCAGCAAAGAGUUAAACGCAGUGUCCCUGAAAUGAAGCCCCAUGACUCUGUAUGGGGUACUGACGUGCCCGAGGAUUUCAAAUUAUGGACCACUGGUAGUAAAAUGGUAUUGGCUCUAUUUCCGCAAAUAGGUGUGGGAAAAGCUCUACUAAGAAUUGAGACCCUGGACUAUCGCAUGGGCCUAUUCCUGAAUGCCUCAAAAAUAAUUAAUGAGGCCCAGAAUAAGGAGCUGGGUAAUCUACGUACCAUGGUUUUGCAAAAUAGAAUGGCUCUAGAUCUCUUAACAGCAUCCCAGGGGGGGUAUGUAAAUGAGUACUGCUAUGUCUACUCUCCAAGGGUUAAAAAUUGCUAUGACUUCUGAUUAUGUCCCAGACACCACAUGGGGUUGGAUGAUGGGUCUGUUCGGCUGGGUGACUCCUUUCCUUACUAUGAUAAUUCCUGUAUGUAUUAUUUUCCUUCUUGUUUGUUGUUGUGGUCCUUUUCUCUUACAAUGUUUGAUGAAUCGUGUUUAUGCUACAAUGGACAGUAUGAUGGGUCAACGAUAUGAUAAGAUUCCUCUGUGUUAGGCCUUUGGCCUAAAAGAGGGGACUGAGAGAACAUUUUGUCCUCUUUUAAGUGUGCUUGCAUGAGAAGCAGAAGUGUCUGUGGUAUUUUGUGUGUGUGUGCAUCGGAGGUCUGAAGGUCAACGUCUGGUUUCGGUCUUGCAGAUAUCUUCCACACUGGAAAGUCCCCGCUAUAUAUACAUUUCUUCUUUAUUCUGUUUGUAUAACAUGCCCAUAUUAAGAGUGUCUUCCUUCUUCUGUAUAACUUUUAAAGGUCAGCCCACUAUGUAUAUAUGUCCCUGCUCAUCCUUAUCAUCAGGCUUGCAGAAUAAACCAUUCUAACUACA